GACGUAGGGCGCGAGCGUUGUCCGGAUUUAUUGGGCGUAAAGAGCUCGUAGGCGGCUUGUCGCGUCGGCUGUGAAAACCCGCGGCUCAACCCCGGACUUGCAGUGGGUACGGGCAGACUAGAGUGUGGUAGGGGAGACUGGAAUUCCUGGUGUAGCGGUGAAAUGCGCAGAUAUCAGGAGGAACACCGAUGGCGAAGGCAGGUCUCUGGGCCACUACUGACGCUGAGAAGCGAAAGCAUGGGGAGCGAACAGG
rnacentral:rRNA from 1 species